rnacentral:rRNA from 1 species
CUACGGGAGGCACCAGUGGGGAAUAUUGCACAAUGGAGGAAACUCUGAUGCAGCAACGCCGCGUGGAGGAUGACACUUUUCGGAGCGUAAACUCCUUUUAUAUAGGAAGAAGAUGACGGUACUAUAUGAAUAAGCGCCGGCUAACUCCGUGCCAGCAGCCGCAGUAAUACGGAGGGCGCAAGCGUUACUCGGAAUCACUGGGCGUAAAGAGCGUGUAGGCGGAUUAAAAAGUCAGAAGUGAAAUCCUAUAGCUUAACUAUAGAACUGCUUCUGAAACUCUUAAUCUAGAAUAUGGGAGGGGUAGAUGGAAUUUCUGGUGUAGGGGUAAGAUCCGUAGAGAUCAGAAGGAAUACCGAUUGCGAAGGCGAUCUACUAGAACAUUAUUGACGCUGAGACGCGAAAGCGUGGGGAGCAAACAGGAUUAGAUACCCGUGUAGUC